GGGGUUGUAGCUCAGUUGGUAGAGCAUCGGCUCGGCAGACCGAAGGCCGGGGUUCAAUUCCCCGCGACUCCAC
rnacentral:tRNA from 1 species